rnacentral:tRNA from 1 species
GCCGGGGUGGCGGAAUAGGCAGACGCUGCCGACUUAAAAUCGGCCGCCCGAAAGGGCAUAAGGGUUCGAGUCCCUUCCCCGGCACCA